rnacentral:tRNA from 1 species
GCGGGGGUACCCAAGUCUGGUCAAUCGCAUGAUCACUACUAACGAACAUACAAGUGAUCUUGGGCCAUAGGGGCAGGACUUAAGAUCCUGUAGCUUAGUGCUUUCCAGGGUUCGAAUCCCUGCCCCCGCA